rnacentral:rRNA from 1 species
UACGUAGGGUCCAAGCGUUCUCCGGAAUCACUGGGCGUAAAUCGUGCUUCGGUUGCUUGUUCAGUGCGAUGCGCAAUCUUGUGGCUCAACCAUAUAGACUGUAUCGCAUACUGGCAAUCUAGAGGACAUGAGAGGCAAGUAGAAUUACUGGUGUAGCAGUGAAAUGCGUAGAUAUCAGUAGGAAUACCAAUGGCGAAGGCAGCUUGCUGGCAUGUAUCUGACGCUAAGGCACGAAAGCGUGGGGAGCGAACAGG